AGAUUGAACGCUGGCGGCGUGCCUAACACAUGCAAGUCGAGCGGUAACAGGUGUAGCAAUACAUGCUGACGAGCGGCGAACGGGUGAGUAAUGCUUUGGAAUCUUCCCAGUAGUGGGGAAUAACCAGUCGAAAGAUUGGCUAAUACCGCAUACGUCUGUAAAGGGAAAGCGGGGGCUCGUAAGACCUCGCGCUAUUGGAUGAGCCAAAGUCGGAUUAGCUAGUUGGUGGGGUAAUGGCCUACCAAGGCGACAAUCCGUAGCUGGUCUGAGAGGACGACCAGCCACACCGGAACUGAGACACGGUCCGGACUCCUACGGGAGGCAGCAGUGGGGAAUAUUGGACAAUGGGGGAAACCCUGAUCCAGCGACGCCGCGUGUGUGAAGAAGGCCUGCGGGUUGUAAAGCACUUUUAGUGGGGACAAAAAGCUACGGAUUAAUACUCUGUGGUCUUGAUUUAACCCAAGAAAAGCACCGGCUAACUCUGUGCCAGCAGCCGC
rnacentral:rRNA from 1 species